GAAAAUUAACAAAACCACUAAACGCGAACCAAAAAAGUAGAGGAAAGUUUUUCCUAUAAACAGAGUGAAGCUCCUUCAUAAAGCUUUAAUUCUCUAUCCAUCAUUGCUUGGAAGGGAACAUAAACCUUGCAUUUUAACAAAUCCAUUUGUCUUUUUCCCCAUAUUUCUAAAAGACCAUUACUAUAGUAAAAAUACUACUAGAAGCGUUACCUCCUCUUCUUCCUCUUAUUUCCAUCACCAACGGCCACUUCACUGCGCAUGAUGGCCUUGUCAAUGUCAACUCCUUUUUCACAAUUGCUGCCUUUGUGAGCCACCCUCUCACCACCCCAGGCCAACGUAGCCUCAAGAAUUGCUCCUCCUGUGAUGCCAG
rnacentral:misc_RNA from 1 species